rnacentral:rRNA from 1 species
AGUGAACGCUGGCGGUAGGCCUAACACAUGCAAGUCGAACGGCAGCACAGUAAGAGCUUGCUCUUACGGGUGGCGAGUGGCGGACGGGUGAGGAAUACAUCGGAAUCUACUUUUUCGUGGGGGAUAACGUAGGGAAACUUACGCUAAUACCGCAUACGACCUACGGGUGAAAGCAGGGGAUCUUCGGACCUUGCGCGAUUGAAUGAGCCGAUGUCGGAUUAGCUAGUUGGCGGGGUAAAGGCCCACCAAGGCGACGAUCCGUAGCUGGUCUGAGAGGAUGAUCAGCCACACUGGAACUGAGACACGGUCCAGACUACUACGGGAGGCAGCAGUGGGGAAUAUUGGACAAUGGGCGCAAGCCUGAUCCAGCAAUACCGCGUGGGUGAAGAAGGCCUUCGGGUUGUAAAGCCCUUUUGUUGGGAAAGAAAAGCAGCAGGUUAAUACCCCGCUGUUCUGACGGUACCCAAAGAAUAAGCACCGGCUAACUUCGUG